AUUGAAUAUGAUGCAGCUCUAAAGAGCACAUUACUGCCUAUGGUUAACAUCUGCUGAGAUACUUCACUACAUUUUAUUGUUGUCUUUCUUUUAGCAUCAAAAUAUUCAAUAGAAGAAUAUUGGGAUAUUACAAUGGGGUGCAACUCAAGUAAAGGUACUGAGGUUGUAGAUUCAUCCAAAAAACCUGGAGACAGACGCAAAUCUGUUGAAUCAGACGACUCAUCGGACAAAGAAGAGGACGAUGUAAAUGAAAUCUCACACACAGAGAAUAUUGGGACUGAGACGGAAGACAGCUGAUACUGUCUUUAAAUUCGCUGGCUACCUUCCUCAAGCUUCUAUGUUUAUUUCCAGUCCAGUUGUGAUCAGCUAAGUUUCCAGGAGAGUGUGAUGAGAUCUACAUCCCAGCCUGUUACUUUCUAUGUUCUCAUCUCAUCGUGUGAUCUCUGUCCAUUAUACAUACUGCAAUACCUUCCUUCUUUAUGGUUCUGCAUUAAACUUAAGGAAAUUAUCAAAGAUGAAAAAGGUUAUGAUAUCACAUUGCUAUUGUGAUAUUAUAGCAGAUUCUGCUGUUUAAGAAUGCAAAUAAAUAUUCUUAAGAAAUAA